rnacentral:rRNA from 1 species
UGGGUAACCUGCCUCAAAGAGGGGAAUAGCCUCCCGAAAGGGAGAUUAAUACCGCAUAAUAUGUUUAAGUCGCAUGACUUUAACAUCAAAGGAUUUUCUUUUAGAAAUUCCACUUUGAGAUGGACCCCGCGGCGCAUUAGCUAGUUGGUGAGGUAACGGCUCACCAAGGCAACGAUGCGUAGCCGACCUGAGG